GUUUGCUAUUACUGUGGACGCGAGGAAAGAACUACUAAAAGAUCAACAUCUCAACGAUGAUAAAACUUCUAUUGAGGAAAAUGGGCCAAAAUCUAUUUUAAACCGUCUCAACGAUGAGAAGUUCGAUCCCAAACGUCCCGAGUUGUUUGGUUAUCAUUACGACGACGAUGAUAAAAAAGACAAGGCAUCAUCAUUUGAGAAGUUCGAUUCCAAACGUCCUGAGUUUUUUGGUUAUCAUUACGACGACAAUGAUAAAAAAGACAAGUCAACGUCAUUUGAGAAGUUCGAUCCCAAACGUCCUGAGUUCCUUCACUAUGGUUACAACGAUGAUGAUAAAAAAGACAAGUCAACGUCAUUUGAGAAGUUCGAUCCCAAACGUCCUGAGUUCCUUCACUAUGGUUACAACGAUGAUGAUAAAAAAGACAAGUCAACGUCAUUUGAGAAGUUCGAUCCUAAACGUCCUGAGUUCUUUCACUAUGGUUACAAUGAUGAUGAUAAAAAAGACAAGUCAACGUCAUUUGAGAAGUUCGAUCCUAAACGUCCUGAGUUCUUUCACUAUGGUUACAAUGAUGAUGAUAAAAAAGACAAGUCAACGUCAUUUGAGAAGUUCGAUCCUAAACGUCCUGAGUUCCUUCACUAUGGUUACAACGAUGAUGAUAAACAAGACAAGUCAACAUCAUUUGAGAAGUUCGAUCCUAAACGUCCUGAGUUCCUUCACUAUAGUUACAACGACGAUGAUAAAAAAGAUAAGUCAACGUCAUUUGAGAAGUUCGAUCCUAAACGUCCUGAGUUCCUUCACUAUGGUUACAACGAUGAUGAUAACACUGACAAAUUAUCAUCUGUUCAAAAUUUUGAGCGUUGGGUUCCUCUUCCAUCAUUUCAUUAUACUUACAGCGACGAUGAUAACACAGAGAAAUCAUCGUCAUUUGAGAAAUUUGAUCCCAAACAUAAGAACUUGCUUCACUAUCACUACAACGACAACAAAGAAAAAUCAUCACCGCUCGAGCAUAAUAAGCCGUCGUCUCUUAUUGAAGAGAUCCCAGGCGGCAACAAUGAUCAUAAGGAGACCAUGUAAAUUAGGCAUCCAGAGGAGCAUAUGGGUUUUAAUGAAAUUGUAUAAUGUUUUAUGUAUUUAAACGUUAUGUCCUCUAUGUAUGGGAGUGCUUACUUAUUAAAGAAAAAUAAAAAUGGCGUCGCCAUAUAUGAUAAUUGAAUAAAAGUAACACUUCAUUUCCUUCCUCUUUUCUCAAGCAAUUUAGUUUUCUUUAUCUAUUGUCUUUGUUCGUAGCUAAACACACAAGGUUGCCAAUUUAGUCGGAUUAUGAUAAAAUAUAUGUAUUAUUAUAUAUAUUUAACUUUAAAAAUAAUAAUUAACGAUAUGUGUAAAGGAGAACAUCAAAAUCCUAGCAACUUUCUCUCUCUUUUUUUUUUCCAUUGCAAUCGUUUUCUUCUUUCUCCAUCAAAAGCCAAGAAUCAAGCAUGUAGGUUUAUAUAUAUAUAUAUAUAAACCUGUAACUUACAUUAUUUUAAUGACAUUGUAGAUUUAUACAUUGAAUAGUAUUACUGAUUUAUUUAGUAGAAUCAAUAGUGUAAUUUUCCUUUGAAUUCUAGAAUAUAAAUAUAUUUUUCUUUUUCCUAGUAAGUGCAUUCUUGUGCUUAUAAUUUUUUUUAGCAUUAAAUAUUUUGUUUUUUAAAAGCCUAUAAAUCCUGAUCUCAAAACAGGUAAUUUUUCGUGUUAAUAUCAUAUUUUUUAAUGAAAAAUCCUUACCAUUUAUCAAAUCUCAUGUAAUUAUUGCCUUUUGGUUUGUGGUUGUGGUUUAUAUGUAAUUUCUUAAGUACUUUGGAUAUGUUCGGACAAAAUUUGUUGUUUUGAUAGCUAUUUAUUAUUUGAAUAAUAUUUAAUGGUCAGUUGUUUUAGUAGUUUUUCAUAAAAUGAUAAAAGUUAAACGUUACAUGAGUUAACUUUUUAAAUAUUAAAUUAUAUAACGAGAUUGAAUUAUUUGAAAGUACAUGAAAUAUACAUAAUAUAAAUGGUUCAAGUAAAACUUUAAUUACAAGUAAAUUAGAAUCUCAAAAUUUAUAAAUUAAAUAAUAAAAAUAAUUAUUUUAUAUAGAUAUAUAUUUCUUUUAAUUAAGAAACUUGAAAAAAUAUAUUAAGUACAAAUUAUAAAUUCAAAUUUAUAAAUUAGAGGUUAUAAAUUCAUGAUAUAUGAACCUUUAUAUUACAUAGUUGUAAACCAAACAAAUUUUAUUCAAAAGCUAUAUAAGUAUAGAAUAUGUUUAUUUUUGAACAAAGUAAAACAGAAUUUAUAAUGAAAAUAAGAUUGAUCAAAUUUAAAUUUAAAGAUUAAUUAGUUUUAAAAUAAUUAUUUUAUAUAUAUGGACCAGUGUAAUUUAAUAUUUUAAAAAUUAAAUAAAUAUUUUUAUGACCAAAUAUAUAAUGUGGAUUAUUUAAAAAAAUAAAUGAAUUUAAAAUAAUUAAGACUAGCUAAACUACAAAUUAGAAGUCACAAGAUACGAUAUAUAUAAUUUAAUAUAUAUAAUUCGAUAUUAUAAAAGGGGAGAAAUUUAUAAGUCUAGCAUUUAUAUAUAUAUAAUAUAAUUUCAAUUGCAUAGGUACAUAAUAAAUUUUUUAACACUAAGAUAAUAAAAUUUUAUAGUUAUUUAUUCAAAGUUUAAAUAAUUUAUUUUGAUUAAAUAUAUUUGAAAUAUUGGAUAAUUAUUUAUCUGUGAAUUUUUUUUAUGUUUGUGUUGAAAAUAGUUUUUUUUUUUAAUUUACACAAUUAAAUAGUUUUUUAUUUUUAAUAAUAUUAAAUAAAUAUUAAAUAAAAAAUAAAUAUUAAAUAAAUAUUAAAUUUUUAAUAAUAAAUAAUAGUUUUUUUGAUAACCAAUUCUAUAGAUAACAAAUCAUUUGCUAAAAGCUCCGCCGAUCAGACCAUCUCACAUCACCGACAACGCCUCUACAGGGGCUUCAUCCACACUAUCAUCAUCACUUAUAGUUAUCAUCCUUUGAAUCAAUAAUGUAAUUUUCCUUUGAGUUCUAGAAUAUAAAUAUAUUUUUCUUUUUCCCAGUAAGUGCAUUCUUGUGCUUAUAAUUUUUUUUAGCAUUAAAUAUUUAGUUUUUUAAAAGCCUAUAAAUCCUGAUAUCGAAAAAGGUAAUUUUUCGUGUUAAUAUCAUAUUUUUUUAAUGAAAAAUCCUUACCAUCGAUCAAAUCUCAUGUAAUUGUUGUCUUUUGGUUUGUGGUUGUGGUUUAUAUGUAAUUUUUUAAGUACUUUGGAUGUGUUCGUCAAGAUUAGUUGUUUUAGCAGCUGUUAACUGUUUGAAUGACAUUUAAUGUUUAGUUGUUUUAGUAGCUUUUCAUAAAAUAGUAAAAGUUAAACUUUAUAUGAGUUAACUUUUUAUAAAUUGCUGGCUUAAUCUCUAUAAGUUAGUUCAAAAGUUAUAUUACCGAACACUAUAAAAAAAUACGUUUAACAUUUUGACCAAUCAAAAUAUUAAAAGCUACUUAAAAAACUAUUACCGAACACGACCUUUGACUUGUAGUUUUUUUGCAAGUGGUUGCUAAGCCUCAACUUGUUGUUACUGAAUUAAGAAUUUAUGUCAAGAGUUUAUUAGAAAUAUGUAGGACUUAUGAAUAUAAUAUUCCUUUAAAUUUUCACUAUUUUGACUUUUUUUAACCUGUUUCAAAGUUACUAGUUAAAUGAUGAUUGUUUAAAUAAAAUUUUAUUUAAAUAUUAUGAUUAAUAAAAUAAUUAACUGUGCCAAUCAGAUAUAAUUUUAUUAAUUUUUUUCAUUUAUAUGAAGAGUGAGAGAUCUAGAGUUCGAGUCCUCUUGAUCACAAAGUUUUCACCAAUUUAGUGAAUUAAAGAGAACUUUAUUCAUAUUGUGUAGCGCAUGGUAUUAUUUAAGCCAUUUUGGCCUUCUACUGGAUAAAAAAAAUUCACUGUAAGCAGCAAAAACUGUAAAUAAUUGCUUAUACCCAUUUCGACUACUCAUCCAACUACCCAUUUACCAACUAUCAGAAUCACAUGGUUGGUAGCCUAUUAUUGAUAACCAAAUAACUAUAUAUCCAUCUGCCACUGUCAAUCAUCACAAAUAACUAAACCAGAAUGAUUUUUAAAUGAUUAUCCAUGGUGUGUCUCCCUAAAGACAAGAAAAGGAAAAGGAAAACAUUGGACCACACCUAUGUAAGGAUGAAGGAAGGGUGUGAGGAGUGUCUCAAGUUCCUUUAACCAUAAUUUUCUUUUAUAUUUAUCUUCUAAAAUAUUGAAGAUUUUUAAUUUUGCUCCUUAAAUUUCAAGUUUUUUGCCGUACCGGCCCCAUUAUUACACGUGUAAAAUCUAAUUAUACUUUAUAUUUAGAUAAACUAUAGUUUUGGCCUUAAACUUUUCGAGUUGUUCCAAUUUCACUCUAAAUUAACUUUUAUUUUGCUGAAUUUUGCAUAUGUUAUUUAAUUGUAUCCAUAGUUUUAAAAUUGGACUUAAUUGAAAGAGACUAAAGAAAAAAUAUGAGAUCCACAUAUUUUCUGUGGGUUAAGGUAAUCCAAUAUUGUUUAACUAGCGAAAAAUGCAUUACUCUGUAUAAGGAUAAGACUUGCUCACACUCAAUAUGUAUGGGUGGUUCUAUAGACGAAACCAAUAAAAAAGAUUGUUUUUAAAAACUCUUACGCUCUAUCCUUUUUGUUUGUAUGAUAAAAAAUGCUUUCAUUUGAAACAAAUCACUUUUUGUGAUUAGUUUGUAAAUGAGUGAGUUCAUUCACUGACAUUGAGUGCAGGUAAGUCUUUCCUUUGUAUAAAGGGAAGAAAAAAAAGACAAAACAAACUUCAAAAUCAUUUAGAUUAUGUGGUAUGCUUCUAUAUUAAAGUGAAUUAUUAUUCAAAUAUGUGAAAAGUGAGAAGUCUGGAGUUCUAAUCCACUCGAUCAUAAAAACUUUCACUAACUUGGAGAAUUAAGGAAAGAAUUACUCUUAUUGUGUAGCCUAUUAAAUUAUUUUUGGCUCGUCUAAUUACUUCAUUAUGGUUACAAUUUGAAAACUUCGGAGGCAAGACCAAAUCCAUCUAAGUGGCCCUAAUUUCUUUCUUUCCUAUUCAAUUAUAAGAAUGUCUUUCAACUUUUAUAUUCACCCUACAAUAUCUUCUUCCCGCACGAGGAUAAAGAACAAAAGGAUAGUGUGAAAUACGUUGAAUUUUUAGAAUCUAAUGGGGUCUUCCCUAAAAAAAUGAUUUUAGAUUCCAUGGCACGCUGAGUGAAUUAUUAUUGGAAACACGAAGUUGUCAAGAUUCCGUGGCUUUGUUUUGCUGUUUUUGUUUUUUCUAAAUAAAUUAGAAUAUUAAUUUAUUUUUACAUGAAAUAAUAAAAACAAAAUGAUUGAAUAUAAAUUAACAAAUAGAGUAAAAGCCUUAACACCUAUAAAAUAAUAAUUGAGGAAAAUUAAUAAAAUUUAGUAAAAAACCGAUCAUAAUUGAAAUUUUGAUAUUUUAGUUGUGUUAGGCAACAGUUUUUUUGAGUAGCUUUUAACAUUUCGACUGGUUAUAACACUAAAUACUAUUUUGUAUAAUCUGAUUUCUGUAAUGACAUUAGCGCCAUUAAUAAACUAAUUGUUUCUUUUGUUACCUAUGGAUUUUAAUAUUGGAACUUUAUAGUAUGUUGCUACUUUACGAGAACAAUUGGAACAACUGGCUGAAGAGAGAACUCUAGAUGGCUUACCUAGGUAUGCGUGCUUUCUUUUAUAUCUUCUCUUAAAUUUGUUUUGAAUUGUAAUUGAACUUUGAAAAACUUUAAUCAAAUUUUCAUGGAUAACCAAUAUUGGAACUUUUUGUAAAUGUCCUUUUCAAGGAAAAUUGACUUGUUAAUAAUACAUCUAAGUUCUUUGAUUGUGAGCCAGAUUUCUCUUCCCCUUUGCAUUUGAGUUGGCCUUUUCUGUUCGGUAGCCAUUAUCAAUCCAAUAAAUCAAAUGUGGCUGGAGUUGUAUUUUAUGUAACAAUCUCUAAGAUUUAAAUGCAGUGCUACUUUUAACUUCUCUUUGAAUACAUUUCAACAGAGUUUCAAAGGCUAAGGUCAAUGAUUAUUCAGAAAAGAUUGAAGCCAUUGCUUCCAGAUUAGCUGCCCCAUUGGUGCGUUGCAUUGGAUACUUUUAAAUUAUUAAUGUGAUUGUGAACUUUAGCAACACUUCUAAAAUUAGUUGCACUAGCAGAUAUUUGAACAUAGUUCGAAGAGUAAGUUUUCUUCUUUUCAUUUCCUCCCUCAAGGGACUAAAAACUGUUGAAAUGCCAUUGCCAUUAUAAUGUGGUAGAGCUUCAAUAACUGUGAUGUAAACAGACUGAAGAUACGGGGUUAUGUUUCUGUAGAAGAAAACAUAAGAGCAAAUCUUGACCGAUUUCACUUUUGUUGAAAAGACUGUACAUAGGAUUUUGAUAUUACUGUCCACAAAUUAAUUCUUUUUUUUUUUAAUUAUCUCUUGAAUGAACUGUUCUUCUUCCCUCUCAGCUAAUAUGUUGACUUCAUGGAUUGCAAUACAUUCUCCUUGGUUUAAUUGCUUUUGUUGCCUGUUCUACUUCUUCUAACUGUUCCCCCCUUUGGUUACAGUGACUAAGCGUACUGAUUACAACUUAAAAGCAUACUAUAUGUUGUUUGUGUCAUCUAACCAUGCAUGCAAUCUAUGAUGUUGCCUCAAUUUGUUUGUCCUAUUAAUUGUCAGUAUUGGCAGUGGUUGAUGUUGUAACAUCUAACCAUUUUUUAUGCGGCUAAUUCUCAGCCUCAGAUUCGGUAUCUGAAGAGCCUUUUGCUGAGAGUUCAAUGAGCGAAAGUCCUAAAGCAGAUGGAGAAACUCAGUUCCCUUCUUCUCCUGGCUUGAGAAGAAGACUUGUGUAAUGAAUCUCUAGUUGUUAGGAUUUAUGUGAUUCAUGCAAUUUCCCUUUUGGUGUUCAUUUCUUUUUCCUCCUUCUGUUUCUAUAUUUAUUUCAUUAUGAUUUUUGUUGUUCUUUGAACAGGGCAGCCCCAAAUUUUGAUGAUAGAACUCAUGAAAUCACUCAGGUUGAUACAUCAGCCCCUGUCAAACUGGAUGCUGCAGCAAAAACACACAUUGAAAAGCACAGGUACUUUUACUGUUUGAUUGGGGUACACCCAAUCAUGAUGUGAUAAUUUCAAAGAUUACAUAGUAAUCCACUCUUAGAUCUGUAAUCUAAGUUUUUCAAGUAAAAAUGUUGCAUUUAAUUCUACAUAAAACCCAGUGGAGUUCCACAUAAACUCAUACAGCCAUUGUUUGCUAAAGAUGCAUUGACUACAGACCAAGGAUGGUCCUCUUGAGGGCAUUGGGUGAUUAUUCAUGAUUCUAUUUGUAGAGGUGUGCAUCAGUGGAUUCGGUUUGACCGAAUUAACCAGUAAUCAAAAUAGGGGAAACUAAACCAAAUUGAAUUACAUAUAUGAAUCAAACAUUUUGGUUCAGUUUGGUUGGCUCCAUACUGAAUCCUUUUGUUCUUGUGUGUGUGUGUGUGUGUGUGUGUGUUGUUUGGUUUUUUUGGUUAAAAUGAUCAUCUGAAGACCGAAACAUGGUUAACAUGUUCAUCUGAUGACUGAAACAUGGUUAACAUGGUUGGCUCCAUACCAUGGUCAUCUGAUGACCGAACCAAAUAAGAGGCCCAAAUCUUUGCUAAUCGAAUCAAACCACAUAUUUCGGUUUGGUUAGUUGGUUAUUACCAACUAAUGCACACCCUUACUCCCCUAGCUAUUUUGGCAUUUCAAUGGGAUAAUGUGUACACCAUAAGCAAGAUAGUAGUGGAAUUUUGGUGUAACAUGGUGCCCUGCUUGGCAUCAGCCUAGUAUUGUUCAGAGAGCGGGACAGAACAAGUAUUUGAGCAAGAGGGGAACUGGGAUUGGAGUGGAAGGUAAGUCAGACACCAAAUUGAUCUUUAAUAUUUAUUAUGUUUCUUUCCCUACCGAGACGAAAGCCAAAGGUGAGUCUCGUAGGUGGACGUAUUGAACCGAAAAAAGAUCUCACUCCCCUGUCUCAACUCGCUUUCCAGGGAUAAGGUGAAAAUGAAAGGUUCAUUGCAAAUUGGAGUUUAUUGCAACAGGAUUUACAUAAAUAACAAUGCUUCAAUACAUUUAAAGUUUCUUAGUCCUCCUUCUUGACUGUUGCUUAUAGUACUAUAUUUAUAACGGUACAAUGUAGUUUCCUGAAAGUAAUAUGAUUAAUGAGUAAAAUUUUCAUGAUAUAGGCAGAGAUAUUCAAAAACAUAAUUUGUUCUGCAUAUUUUCUUGCUCCAAGUUCCAAAGAUUGAAUCUAGGACUACCUAGUUGCUUCAAAGAUCAUCAACUUCUGAUUAAACUUUUGUAUCCUAUUGCAGAAAGCUUCAAGAAGACCUGACAGAUGAAAUGGUUGGGUUGGCACAACAACUAAAAGAGAGUAGUCUCUUGAUGAGCCAGUCCUUGCAAAAUACUGAAAAGGUAAUGAUUUUUGGAACCAAAUGUAUUACCUUCUGAGGAGAUGUGCAAUUGUAGCUUUGGUGAGUGAUUCUGCAUGUUCUGGGGAGGCAGCAUUAGAGGAUCGCGUAAUCCAUUAUUCUUUGUGUACAAGUUAGCUAAUGAGUAUCUCUAACAUGGUAAUGAUUUAGAAACUACUAGGAUUGUGAAGAAGUGUCAUUUUCCUUCUGCCAUUAAUUGAUUGAUGUGAAGCGUCUGAGUUCUAUCUUAAAAUUGCUCAGAUUUGUAAAUGCUGUGAAGGAGAGGUUGGGAGUGGCAAUCAGAGAGAUAUCUAUAGCAGCAUUUUUCUGAAUUUAAUCUGUGGGAAUUGAUGUUCUAUUGAGGUCUUGUAUUUUGACAUACUAAUCACUCUAUUAAGCGAUGAAAGUUGCUAGGAUAUGAAAUUCUUCUUGAUUAAUGAUGAAUUGAAGAACAACUACUGAACCAUUUCUGUACUCAUGCAGUAAUCGAUAAGCUGCUAAUUGUGUUAAUUGACUUGGAAUGGGCCCUUAAGGAAUUAACAAGUACAGAUCUAUAAAAUUGUAAAAGCCAUAAGAGGACAGGCUUUUAUAAGAAAAAUCUACCCUGUAAUUUUUUUUUCCCUACCAAUGAUUGGAUGGUGGACUCACCGACAAAUGAGGUAAGGGAAAUUGAGAAGCAACUUUCUACUUCAACCUUUUUUCUUCUUGAUAUGGUAAACAACUUGCCUUGAGCUCAUAAUUUGUUUGUAUUUUUCAAUUUUCUUUGAAAUAAUGGCAGUAGCAACUAAAACUUCUAGUUGAUGAGUGUAUGCAUCAUGAAUUUCUACAUUACCACUUAUCAUGUGGAAAUUCAGAUUUCUGUUCAUUUACGUAUUAUAGAUACUUGAAUUUAAUACUUAUCAAAAUGUGAUUGCAAAGAUCAUGUAUAUCGAUCUGGGACUAUUUUUUAAACUGAUGCUCUUCUUGUACAUGUCAGAAAGUUUUUGCAUUCAAUGGCUGUAAAAAAAGAAAUACAUAAAUUUAUUAGAUGAAGCUAAAACAACAUAUAUGCAAGUUUUUAUUUCUAGUCUCAAAACCUAAAUGUUUGUUUUGGUGCAGAUACUCGAUUCUACAGAGAACGCUAUUGAGCAAAGCUUGGCAGGCACUGGCCGUGCCAAUGUCCGAGCCUUGGAGAUAUACUCGAAAAGUUCUAAAACUACAUGCUUCACUUGGCUUCUGAUUUUUCUAAUGACAUGUGUCUUCAUCAUGGUUGUACUCCUAAUUCGCGUCACUUAGAAGUUUCUUCAAGGUAAGCAAGUUUCGACAUGGUAAUGCUGCUGUCUUGCAAUGCGAGUCAAGUGUUUAACCAUUUGUUCAAAAUCAACUGGUUUUUUAUGAAAGUGGUGCCUAAUGAUUUAAUUUUUCUACCAGAAAUCAUUUUGUGACGAUACGGAGAUUAAUGACAAAUAAUAUGUAAUAUUUUCUUAUUCUGUGUUGUUUGAGGUUAUGUUGGGAUUUAUAUUUUAAUCGACGGACAACUGAUUCUGAAAUAAGUUUAACACUCAUAUUAUGAUUGUAUUUUUUUUUCUUUUUUCUUUUUUAAUAUAAUGUCUUUUAUUUUAUUUUGAAUUAAAAUAAAUAACUAGAAAACAUUACUAAACAAAAAUUAAUUAAUUAUUUUUAUUUAUAUACCAUAUUAAAAAAAAUGAUAGAUUCAUCUGAGAAAAUAAAAAGAAUAAUUUAGCUACCAACAACAAGAAUUUACUCUAGGGUGCUUGUUUUUUAAGAGAGGACCCAUAAGGAUAUUAAAGUGUAAAUAAUUAAAAUAUCAAUAAAAGUGGCAAAGUAUUUACUCUAGGGUCCUUGUUUUUUAAGGUAAUCAGUGGUAUUAUUAUUCUUGAAAAAAAAUAAAAAAAUAAAAACCUGGUAUUAUUAAAUGUAUAUUAUUGAAAAGAAAAAUAAAAACUUUUAUCAAUAAUGAGAAAAUUAUCUACCAAUGUAUGAGGAGUGGCACUCACCAACCCCAAUUCCUACCUACUCAUCCAUAGAAUUGGUAUUAUUGUUACUCUUAUCAUGCCCAAUCAUCCAUGCAAAAUUAUUACUUUUACACAUGCAUAAAUGCAAGAUUUUAUAAUUUAAAAAAAUGUUGAUCACUCAAUAUUUUUUUAUUAAUCAAAAGGCUCAAUUGAUCGAAUAACAUAAUGAUUAAGGGAUAAUUUUUCCAUUGACUUAUCGAAUUAUUAAAAACUAGUGCGAUCGGAAAAAUUCAAACUUAACAAUCAUAUUUUUUAUAUUAGUAAAAAGAUCAACCAAAUAAUAUAUGGUUAGCCUAAAGAGGUUUUUUUUUUUUUUUUUUUUUUUGCCCCUUUUAAAGAUAUUGGGCAGAAAAUAAUAAUCAGCGGAGAUUAUAGCAUUAUUUCAUGUAAUUAAUUAAUAUAGUAUAUAAAUAAAUAAAUAAAUAUUAAUUAAAUGUUUAUAAUAAUAUUUACUAGUUAUUUAUUGUUUUUAGAUAAUUAUAUAUGAUAAUGAUAACAUAAAAAUAGUAAUUGGAAAAUAAAAUUAUUAAUGAUUUAUUAUUGAGGUGAAUAUAGCCCUGGGGAAUUGAUUAAAAAAAAAAAGGAGUUGAAAAAGUAGUUAAUGAAGAUUUAACACAUAUAAAUUAAACGUAGAAUAAAUUUGCAUGAAACAAAUAAGCUAAAUAUCCCUCUAAUAAGGAAUUGAUAGCUGAUAAAGCUUACAUAAGUUUCAAUUUACUAUUGAUCUCAUCAACUGAAUUUAGGGCUUUUUCUUAUCAAUGUAUUAUAUUUUGACUAUAUUAAUUUUAUAAAAAAAUAUAUUAAUAAAUUAUUUUUUGAAAUUAAUAUUUUAGGAUAAUCUUAUUUAUAAAAAUUUUAAAUUAAAAUAAAUAAGUAGAAAAUAUUACUACACAAAAAUUAAAUAAUUAUUUUUAUUUAUAAACUAUCAUAAACAACUAUCAUAAACAAUUAAAUAAUUAAAUAAUGAUUACUAUUAUCAACUAUCAUAAACAACUAAAUCAACCAUUUUAUUUUUCAAAUAAUCGAUUUUUAAAUAAAAACAUGAAUAUGUAUAGUUGUGAGAUCUAUUUAGAUUCAAAUGAGUUUAAAAUUUAAAAAAAAAAAUUCAAAUGAUGAAUUAGCCUAAAUUAAAAUUUUUUUAAUGCAUUUAGAGCAAUAAAAAAUUAUAGAGUAUAUAUAUAUAUAUAUAUAUAUAUAUAUAUAUAUACAUGCGCACGCGCAUAAUUUUGAAAAGAGGCAUGACCAAAUCCAUCUAGGUGGCCUUAAUAUUUUUUUUCUAUUCAAUUAUAAGAAUAUCUCUCAAUUUUUAUAUUUAUCCUACACAUAUCUUAUCCUACACGAAAAAAAAAACGAGGAUAAUGUAAGAUAUGAAUUAUAAGAAUGUCACUCAACUUUUAUAUUGACCCAACACAUAUCUUGGUUCAUGUGGAGGGAAAAAAAAGAUAAUAUAAGAUAAGUAAAGAAUUAUUAGAAUCUAAUAGGGUCUUUUCUGAUAUUAAAAUAAAUAAAAAAACUUUGUGGGACGCUCCUAUAUUAAAGUGAAUUAUUAUUGGAAAUUCAAGAGAAAUUUAAUUAUUUGCACUGAUGGCUUUGAUUUUUUUUUUUUUCUUAACAAAAUUAACAAUUCUAUUCCAUGUAAUUCAACAAUACAUAUGAAAAAUACUUGUAAUGUUAAUAAUUGUACAUUAAAAUCAGUUGCACAUUGUUAAGCUUUAACUCAUAUUAUAAUUAUUGAAAUUAUUGAGAGAGAGAAAAUAGGAAAAAAAAGAUUGAUUAAUUUAUAUUAUAAAAUAAAAAUACUAUGAACUUUGCAUAUGGUUGGAAUUGCAUUUUAUUUUAAAUUUUAACUAUAAGGUGCAAUUAAUUAUUUUAGAGUAUAAUAACAUUUUGAAUUUUACGUAUUGUUGCAAUUACACCUUAUUUUUUCCCUAAAUUUUAAUUACAAAGCGUCAGUAAUUUCAAAAUGCUGUUACAUGAUAAUUGUUAAAAGGGUUAAAUAUUUUCGGUUCCCUAAAUUAUGGCCAAAAUAACACCUAGGAUCCUCAACGUUUGAGUAAUUAUCUUGAAUGACCUAAAUAAUGUUGUCGUUAUACUACGAGGCCCUGCCAUCCAAAUUCUUACCUUUUUCCAUUUACAUGGAUUGAAAAGCAAACAUUAAGUGGGGAGUUAAAUGUUUUGGGGUCCCUAAAUUAUGACCAAAUCAACACUUAAGUCCCUCUACGUUCGAGUAAUUAUUCGUUUUUCAGUUCAUAUAAACGCAAAAAAAGUAGAAAUUUAGAUGGAAAUUCCAUUCGACGUGCCUAUCUAAGAUUUUUCCUCUUUGUGCUUUUUCUCAUAUUUGCGGAUGCGCUUUACACCCUUUGUAGCUAAGAAUUUUUCGUAUUUUGUAAUAAACAAGAAAUAACAAAAAAAAAAAAAAAAAAUGAGUUGAGAAAUUUUCUUUUUACAAAAAUGCCCUUAUAUUGCUAAAGGUUUCUUUGACAUUGUGUGGCUAUAUAUAGCAGGCACUUCACCAUUAAAAAACCAAACAUUUCUUCUCCCCUUUACAACUAAAGAGAACCAUGAAGAGCUUCUCUAUUUUCUUUGUUCUUCUCCCUCUUCUCUUGGUGAGUGAACCAUUUCUUCAUACAUUAUUCUACUUAGCACCAACCCUAAAAUUCGAUUGAAAUUAAUGGCAAAGCUAUAUGUUGCAGUCUUUUUUUUUUUUUUUUUUUUUUAUUAAAGAAAUUAAUGCAGAUAUUAUUUUUUAUUAAUUAAAUGGCUAGCUUUGUUCCUAAUAUUAUUUAUACUUUCAGCGGAACUACAUAUAAUUUUUAGUGUGACAUUUUUUUCUCUCUAAUUUUUUCGUCUUAUUUCAAGAACAUGCUUUUUUUGAUUCUUUUAGUAGUUUGGCAAUAUAUAUGGACUCAAGCUCUAAUCUUUGUUCUUUUUUUCUUUAAUAGUUUGGUAUUACUGUGGACGCGAGGAAAGAACUACUAAAAGAUCAACAUCUCAACGAUGAUAAAACUUCUAUCGAGGAAAAUGGGCCAAAAUCUAUUUUAAACCAUCUCAACGAUGAGAAGUUCGAUCCCAAACGUCCCGAGUUGUUUGGUUAUCAUUACGACGACGAUGAUAAAAAAGACAAGGCAUCAUCAUUUGAGAAGUUCGAUUCCAAACGUCCUGAGUUUUUUGGUUAUCAUUACGACGACAAUGAUAAAAAAGACAAGUCAACGUCAUUUGAGAAGUUCGAUCCUAAACGUCCUGAGUUCCUUCACUAUGGUUACAACGAUGAUGAUAACACUGACAAAUUAUCAUCUGUUCAAAAUUUUGAGCGUUGGGUUCCUCUUCCAUCAUUUCAUUAUACUUACAGCGACGAUGAUAACACAGAGAAAUCAUCGUCAUUUGAGAAAUUUGAUCCCAAACAUAAGAACUUGCUUCACUAUCACUACAACGACAACAAAGAAAAAUCAUCACCGCUCGAGCAUAAUAAGCCGUCGUCUCUCUCUGAUGAGAUCUCAGGUGGCAACAAUGAUCAUAAGGAGACCAUGUAAAUUAGGCCUCCAGAGGAGCAUAUGGGUUUUAAUGAAAUUGUAUAAUGUUCUAUGUAUUUAAACGUUAUGUCCUCUAUGUAUGGGAGUGCUUACUUAUUAAAGAAAAAUAAAAAUGGCGUCGCCAUAUAUGAUAAUUGAAUAAAAGUAACACUUCAUUUCCUUCCUCUUUUCUCAAGCAAUUUAGUUUUCUUUAUCUAUUGUCUUUGUUCGUAGCUAAACACACAAGGUUGCCAAUUUAGUCGGAUUAUGAUAAAAUAUAUGUAUUAUUAUUUGAUGAGAAAUUUUUACUUAAUAUUUAAUAUUUAAUUUUAUAUAUAUAUAUAUAUAUAUAUAUAUAUGGUUUGAGAAUAUUAACUUAAAAUUUUGUUUUCAAGAAAAAUAUAUUUAACUUUAAAAUAAUAGUUAACGAUAUAUGUAAAGGAGAACAUCAAAAUCCUAGCAACUUUCUCUCUUUUUUUUUUUUUUUUUUCCAUUGCAAUCGUUUUCUUCUUUCUCCAUCAAAAGCCAAGAAUCAAGCAUGUAGGUUUAUAUAUAUAUAUAUAUAAACCUGUAACUUACAUUAUUUUAAUGACAUUGUAGAUUUAUACAUUGAAUAGUAUUACUGAUUUAUUUAGUAGAAUCAAUAGUGUAAUUUUCCUUUGAAUUCUAGAAUAUAAAUAUAUUUUUCUUUUUCCUAGUAAGUGCAUUCUUGUGCUUAUAAUUUUUUUUAGCAUUAAAUAUUUUGUUUUUUAAAAGCCUAUAAAUCCUGAUAUCGAAAAAGGUAAUUUUUCGUGUUAAUAUCAUAUUUUUUAAUGAAAAAUCCUUAACAUUUAUCAAAUCUCAUGUAAUUAUUGUCUUUUGGUUUGUGGUUGUGGUUUAUAUGUAAUUUCUUACCUACUUUGGAUAUGUUCGGGCAAAAUUUGUUUUUUUGAUAGCUAUUUAUUGUUUGAAUAAUAAUUAAUGGUCAGUUGUUUUAGUAGUUUUUCAUAAAAUGAUAAAAGUUAAACGUUACAUGAGUUAACUUUUUAUAGACUGCUGGUUUAACCUUUAUAAGCUAGUUUAAAAGUUAUAUUAUCGAGCACUAUAAAAAAUACGUUUAGCACCUUAACCAGUCAAAAUAGUAAACACUACUUAAAAAAUUGUUACCUAACACAAUCUUUGUUUGUGGUUUUUUUGCAAGUUGUUGCUAAGCCUCAACUUCUUGUUAUUGAAUUAAGAAUUUAUGUCCAAGAGUUUAUUAGAAACAUGUAGGACAUAAGAAUAUAAUAUUACUUUAAAUUUUCACUAUUUUGAUUUUUUGUAACCUGUUUCAAAGUACUAAUUAUAUAUAUGAUGACUGUUUAAAUAAAAUUUUAUCUAAAUUUCAUGAUUAAUAGAGUAAUUAACUGUUCCAAUCAGGUAUGAUUUUAUUAGUCUUUUUCACUUAUAUGAGGAGUGAGAGAUCUCAAGUUCGAGUCCUCUUGAUCACAGAGUUUUCAUCAAUUUAGCGAGUCAAAGAGAAUUUUACCCAUAUUGUAUAGUGCAUAUUAUUAUUGAAGCCGUUUCAGCCUCCUAACGGAUCAAAAAGAAAUCCACUAUAACUAACAAAAACUGCAAAUAAUUGCUUAUACCCAUUUCAACUACUCAUUCAACUACACAUUUACCAACUAUCAGAAUCUCAUGGUGGGUAGCUUAUUAUUGAUAACCAAAUAACUAUAUAUAUCCAUCUAUCAACUGCCACUGUCAAUCAUCACAAUAACUAAACCAAAAUGAUUUCUAAAUGAUUAUCCGUGGUGUGUCUCCCCAAAUGAUUAUCCAUGGUGUGUCUCCCCGAAGAGAAGAAAAGGAAAAGGCAAACACUGUUUCACACCUAUGAGAGGAUGGAGGAAGGGUGUGAGGAGUGUCUCAAUUUCCCUUAAUCAUAAUUUUCUUUUAUAUUUAUCUUCUAAAAUAUUGAAAAUUUUCAAUUUUGCUCCCCAAAUUUUGAUUUUUUUUUUCGUACUAGCUCCAUCAUUACACAAUGUAAAUUCUAAUUAUACUUUAUAUUUGGAUAGACUAUAUUUUUCACCUUAAAUUUUCAAAUUGUUCCAAUUUCACUCUAAAAUGACUUUUAUUUUCUAUUUGAAUUUUGCAUAUGUUAUUUAAUUAUACCCAUAAUUUUAAAAUUGGACUUAAUUGAAAAAGACUAAAGAAAAAAUGUGAUAUCCAUAUAUUUUCUGUGGGUUAAGGUAAUCCAAUAUUGUUUAACUAGCAAAAAAUACAUUACUUUGUACAAGGAUAAGACUUGCUUAUACCUAAUGCAUGAGUGGUUCCGUACACCAAGCCAAUCAAAAAAGAUUUUUUAAAAAAACUGUUACUAUUCUAUCCUUUUUGUUUGUAUGAUCAAAAAUACAUUCGUUUGAAAUAAAUCACUUUUUUGUGAUUAGUUUGUGAUUAGGUGAGUCUUUCCUUUGUAUAAAGGGAAAAAAAAAAUAAAAAAAAAAAGACAAAACCAACUACAAAAUCAUUCAGGUUCUGUGGUAUGCUCCUAUAUUAAAGUGAAUUAUUAUGAUCAACUAGAUGAGAAGUCUCAAGUUUUAAUCCACUCGAUAAUAAAAACUACUCUGGUUAUAUAGCCCAUUAAAUUAUUUUGGCUCGUCUAAUUAUUUCGUUAUGGUUACAAUUUGAAAACUUCGGAGGCAAGACCAAAUCCAUCUAAGUGGCCCUAAUUUCUUUCUUUCCUAUUCAAUUAUAAGAAUGUCUUUCAACUUUUAUAUUCACCCUACAAUAUCUUCUUCCCGUACGAGGACAAAGAACAUAAGGAUAGUGUGAAAUACGUUGAAUUUUUAGAAUCUAAUGGGGUCUUCCCUAAAAAAAAUGAUUUUAGAUUCCAUGGCACGCUGAGUGAAUUAUUAUUGGAAACAUGAAGUUUUCAAGAUUCCGUGGCUUUGUUUUGCUAUUUUUUUUUAAAUAAAUUGGAAUGUUAAUUUACUUUUACAUGAAAGAAUAAAAACAAAAUGACUGAAUAUAAAUUAACAAAGAGAGUAAAAGCCUUAACACCUAUAAAAUAAUAAUUGAGGAAAAUUAAUAAAAUUUAGUAAAAAACCGAUCAUAAUUGAAAUUUUAAUAUUUUAAUUGUGUUCAGCAACAGUUUUUUGAGUAGUUUUUAAUAUUUUGACUGGUUAUAACGCUAAAUACUUUUUUUAUAGUGUUUAGUACAUGUUAAGGUAGUGUUUUAUAAAAAGUCAACUAAUAUAUCUGUUUAGCUUUUAGCUUUUCAUAAAAGCUACUCGAACAGUUAACAAGUAAAUGCUACUAAAAUAACUAAGAACUAUAAAAACAGCUUUUGGCUUUUUUCAUUUAAAUUAUGCAGUCUACUCAGCUUUCCGGUGACUCAAUAGCCGGAAAAUUGAUCAUAGGGAUUUUUCUGUUACUCUUAUGAUAUUUGAGGGAUUUAAGUGAUAAAUUGAAGUUGAUCAUAGGGAUUUUUCUGUUACUCUUAUGAUAUUCGAGGGAUUUAAGUGAUAAAUUGAAGUUUUAGAUAGGGUAAAGUGAUAAGACUAUAACUUGAAGGACACCUGGUGAAAAUAAGCCUUAAUUUAUGCUAAGACAAAACUACCCUUACUUAAAAAACAAAUACAUUUCGUUUUCGAUUUCUCCAUCUCCACUGCUGCCAUUGUCAUUCCGGCGAUUACCUCUGCCUCCGAUUGUAACAGUCUUCGAUGAUCCCUACUCCACCCGCGAAAUAUCAAUCCUAAGUUCUUUCAAGCUCAAACUAAGAGUUUGAUUCAAUCAAAUGUAAGCUUUCUCUAUCAAUACAUUUCUUUGGCUAGUGAGGAAGUAUGAGAAACUGAACCAAUUAAAUCUAGUUGAGCCCCCAAUUUUUCAAUUUAUUGAGAAAAUAUGUAGUUCGUCUCUAUCAGUUCUUAAUUUGGUGAAUCGAAUGGUCAAUAAUUAGUUAGAGAUUUAAAAUAUACAUCAAAAUUAGGUUUCUAGAUUUUCUUUUUCCUAAUUUAUCAUUAUCAGUUCUUGCGCAAUCAAAUUAUCUCUUCCUGUUAUUUGGGAUUUACUGUCUAUGGUGAUGAAAAGCGAUGGUUAUUGCAUUUAUUUGUUCUACACAUUACAUGAUCACAAGUUACCGGUUUCAAUAGCUGAAAUGAGGCUGCUUGAUUUUGCUUUCCAUUUUUUUUUAACUUUAUUUUUAUUUGUCAAGCUUAAAUUGGUGUAUAUUGGCUUCUAUUUGUUGGUGUAAUGUUCAACAAUUUAAUUAUUUAAUUGUCAAUAUUCUUUUGUUUGUCUUGAAGCAAAUUUAUUAAUUGCAUGUGCUUAUACUAUGGAUUAUAUCAAAUUAUACACAAUAAUUUUCUACUUAUUUUAGAAAAGGACAAAAAUAUCCAGAAGUCGAAGAAAUAUUCCUAUUUGCCAUAAAAAUUGCAGAGUUUUUGUUUAUGAAACUACUCUCACUUGUGUGGGUAAUGUUACAUUGGCAUUUGAUUUAUAGCAUUAAGAUUAACUCUGUUUAUUCAUUUAUUUUUUAUCAUUGCCACAGGAUGUUAUAAUGGGAAUCAGUAAAACAGAGAUAAACUUAAGGAGGUUGCUUGCAGCUGCACCUCGGCAACAAAAUCAAGCAAAACUUAUACAUGUAUGUCCAUUGAUUGCAUUCGGAAAUUAUUUUUUCAUAAUCCCUUUUUUUUUUUUAAUUUUUUGAUGCUUUAUUUUGCGUUGUUUAUGGUUUUGUAUAAUCUGAUUUCUGUAAUGGCAUUAGCGCAUUUAAUAAACUAAUUGUUUCUUUUGUUACCUAUGGAUUUAAUAUUGGAACUUUAUAGUAUGUUGCUACUUUACGAGAACAAUUGGAACAACUGGCUGAAGAGAGAACUCUAGAUGGCUUACCUAGGUAUGCGUGCUUUCUUUUAUAUCUUCUCUUAAAUUUGUUUUGAAUUGUAAUUGAACUUUGAAAAACUUUAAUCAAAUUUUCAUGGAUAACCAAUAUUGGAACUUUUUGUAAAUGUCCUUUUCAAGGAAAAUUGACUUGUUAAUAAUACAUCUAAGUUCUUUGAUUGUGAGCCAGAUUUCUCUUCCCCUUUGCAUUUGAGUUGGCCUUUUCUGUUCGGUAGCCAUUAUCAAUCCAAUAAAUCAAAUGUCGCUGGAGUUGUAUUUAUGUAACAAUCUCUAAGAUUUAAAUGCAGUGCUACUUUAACUUCUCUUUGAAUACAUUUCAACAGAGUUUCAAAGGCUAAGGUCAAUGAUUAUUCAGAAAAGAUUGAAGCCAUUGCUUCCAGAUUAGCUGCCCCAUUGGUGCGUUGCAUUGGAUACUUUUAAAUUAUUAAUGUGAUUGUGAACUUUAGCAACACUUCUAAAAUUAGUUGCACUAGCAGAUAUUUGAACAUAGUUAGAAGAGUAAGUUUUCUUCUUUUCAAUUCCUCCCUCAAGGGACUAAAAACUGUUGAAAUACCAUUGCCAUUAUAAUGUGGUAGAGCUUCAAUAAUUGUGAUGUAAACAGACUGAAGAUACGGGGUUAUGUUUCUGUGGAAGAAAACAUAAGAGCAAAUCUUGACCGAUUUCACUUUUGUUGAAAAGACUGUACAUAGGAUUUUGAUAUUACUGUCCACAAAUUAAUUCUUUUUUUUUUUAAUUAUCUCUUGAAUGAACUGUUCUUCUUCCCUCUCAGCUAAUAUGUUGACUUCAUGGAUUGCAAUACAUUCUCCUUGAUUUAAUUGCUUUUGUUGCCUGUUCUACUUCUUCUAACUGUUCCCCCCUUUGGUUACAGUGACUAAGCGUACUGAUUACAACUUAAAAGCAUACUAUAUGUUGUUUGUGUCAUCUAACCAUGCAUGCAAUUUAUGAUGUUGUCUCAAUUUGUUUGUCUUAUUAAUUGUCAGUAUUGGCAGUGGUUGAUGUUGUAACAUCUAACCACUUUUUAUGCGUCUAAUUCUCAGCGUCAGAUUCGGGUAUCCGAAGAGCCUUUUGCUGAGAGUUCAAUGAGCGAAAGUACUAGAGCAGAUGGAGAAACUCAGUUCCCUUCUUCUCCUGGCUUGAGAAGAAGCUUUGUGUAAUGAAUCUCUAGUUUUUAGGAUUUAUGUGAUUCAUGCAAUUUCCCUUUUGUUGUUCAUUUUCUUUUUCCUCCUUCUGUUUCUAUAUUUGUUUCAUUAUGAUUUUUGUUGUUCUUUGAACAGGGCAGCCCCAAAUUUUGAUGAUAGAACUCAUGAAAUCACUCAGGUUGAUACAUCAGCCCCUGUCAAACUGGAUGCUGCAGCAAAAACACACAUUGAAAAGCACAGGUACUUUUACUGUUUGAUUGGGGUACACCUAAUCAUGAUGUGAUAAUUGCAAAGAUUACAUAGUAAUCAACUCUUAGAUCUGUAAUCUAAGUUUUUCAAGUAAAAAUGUUGCAUUUAAUUCUAUAUAAAACCCAGUGGAGUUCCACAUAAACUCAUACAGCCAUUGUUUGCUAAAGAUGCAUUGACUACAGACCAAGGAUGGUCCUCUUGAGGGCAUUGGGUGAUUAUUCAUGAUUCUAUUUGUAGAGGUGUGCAUCAGUGGAUUCGGUUUGACCGAAUUAACCAGUAAUCAAAAUAGGGGAAACUAAACCAAAUUGAAUUACAUAUAUGAAUCAAACAUUUUGGUUCAGUUUGGUUGGCUCCAUACUGAAUCCUUUUGUUCUUGUGUGUGUGUGUGUUGUUUGGUUUUUUCGGUUAACAUGAUCAUCUGAUGACCGAAACAUGGUUAACAUGGUCAUCUGAUGACUGAAACAUGGUUAACAUGGUUGGCUCCAUACCAUGGUCAUCUGAUGGCCGAACCAAAUAAGAGGCCCAAAUCUUUGCUAAUCGAACCAAACCACAUAUUGUGGUUUGGUUAGUUGGUUAUUACCAACUAAUGCACACCCUUACUCCCCUAGCUAUUUUGGCAUUUCAAUGGCAUGAUGUGUACAGCAUAAGCAAGAUAGUAGUGGAAUUUUGGUGUAACAUGGUGCCCUGCUUGGCAUCAGCCUAGUAUUGUUCAGAGAGAGGGAGAGAACAAGUAUUUGAGCAAGAGGGGAACUCGGAUUGGAGUGGAAGGUAAGGCAGACACCAAAUUGAUCUUUAAUAUUUAUUAUGUUUCUUUCCCUACCGAGACGAAAGCCAAAGGUGAGUCUCGUAGGUGGACGUAUUGAACCGAAAAAAGAUCUCACUCCCCUGUCUCAACUCGCUUUCCAGGGAUAAGGUGAAAAUGAAAGGUUCAUUGCAAAUUGGAGUUUAUUGCAACAGGAUUUACAUAAAUAACAAUGCUUCAAUACAUUUAAAGUUUCUUAGUCCUCCUUCUUGACUGUUGCUUAUAGUACUAUAUUUAUAACGGUACAAUGUAGUUUCCUGAAAGUAAUAUGAAAAUUUUCAUGAUAUAGGCAGAGAUAUUCAAAAACAUAAUUUGUUCUACAUAUUUUCUUGCUCCAAGUUCCAAAGAUUGAAUCUAGGACUACCUAGUUGCUUCAAAGAUCAUCAACUUCUGAUUAAACUUUUGUAUCCUAUUGCAGAAAGCUUCAAGAAGACCUGACAGAUGAAAUGGUUGGGUUGGCACAACAACUAAAAGAGAGUAGUCUCUUGAUGAGCCAGUCCUUGCAAAAUACUGAAAAGGUAAUGAUUUUUGGAACCAAAUGGAUUACCUUCUGAAGAGAUGUGCAAUUGUAGCUUUGGUGAGUGAUUCUGCAUGUUCUGGGGAGGCAGCAUUAGAUGAUCGCGUAAUCCAUUAUUCUUUCUGUACAAGAUUAGCUAAUGAGUAUCUCUAACAUGGUAAUGAUUUAGAAACUACUAGGAUUGUGAAGAAGUGGCAUUUUCCUUUUGCCAUUAAUGGAUUGAUGUGAAGUGUCUGAAUUCUAUCUUAAAAUUGCUCAGAUUUGUAAAUGCUGUGAAGGAGAGGUUGGGAGUGGCAAUCAGAGAGAUAUCUAUGGCAGCAUUUUUCUGAAUUUAAUCCGUGGGAAUUGGUGUUCUAUUGAGGUCUUGUAUUUUGACAUACUAAUUACUCUCUUAAGCGAUGAAAGUUGCUAGGAUAUGAAAUUCUUCUUGACUAGUGAUGAAUUGAAGAACAACUACUGAACCAUUUCUGUACUCAUGCAGUAAUCGAUAAGCUGCUAAUCGUGUUAAUUGACUUGGAAUGGGCCCUUAAGGAAUUAACUAGUACAGAUCUAUAAAAUUGUAAAAGCCAUAAGAGGACAGGCUUUUGUAAGAAAAAUCUACCCUGUAAUUUUUUUUUCCCUACCAAUGAUUGGAUGGUGGACUCACCGACAAAUGAGGUAAGGGAAAUUGAGAAGCAACUUUCUACUUCAACCUUUUUUCUUCUUGAUAUGGUAAACAACUUGCCUUGAGCUCAUAAUUUGUUUGUAUUUUUCAAUUUUCUUUGAAAUAAUGGCAGUAGCAACUAAAACUUCUAGUUGAUGAGUGUAUGCAUCAUGAAUUUUUACAUUACCACUUAUCAUGUGGAAAUUCAGAUUUCUGUUCAUUUACGUGUUAUAGAUACUUGAAUUUAAUACUUUUCAAAAUGUGAUUGCAAAGAUCAUGUAUAUCGAUCUGGGACUAUUUUUUAAACUGAUGCUUUUCUUGUACAUGUCAGAAAGUUUUUGCACUCAAUGGCUGUAAAAAGAGAUACAUAAAUCUAUUAGAUGAAGCUAAAACAACAUAUAUGCAAGUUUUUAUUUCUAGUCUCAAAACCUAAAUGUUUGUUUUGGUGCAGAUACUCGAUUCUACAGAGAACGCUAUUGAGCAAAGCUUGGCAGGCACUGGCCGUGCCAAUGUCCGAGCCUUGGAGAUAUACUCGAAAAGUUCUAAAACUACAUGCUUCACUUGGCUUCUGAUUUUUCUAAUGACAUGUGUCUUCAUCAUGGUUGUACUCCUAAUUCGCGUCACUUAGAAGUUUCUUCAAGGUAAGCAAGUUUCUACAUGGUAAUGCUACUGUCUUGCAAUGCGAGUCUAGUGUUUAACCAUUUGUUCAAAAUCAACUCGUUUUUUAUGAAAGGGGUGCCUAAUGAUUUAAUUUUUUCUACCAGAUAUCAUUUUGUGACGAUACGGAGAUUAAUGACAAAUAAUAUGCAAUAUUUUCUUAUUCGUGUUGUUUGAGGUUGUUUUGGGAUUCAUAUUUUAAUCGACGGACAACUAAUUCUAAAGUAAGUUUAACACUCAUAUUAUGAUUGUAUUUUUUUUUCUUUUUUCUUUUUUAAUAUAAUGUCUUUUACUUGAGAAGAUGAUAGGUUUUUAUAUUUCUUCUGUUUGGGUGAAAAAUGGAUAAAUAAACUAUUAAUACUGAAAUAGAUAGUCUAAUAAUGUGGAUUUGAUGAUAACCGAAUUAUUAAGUAUAAGUUCUAUUAUUUCAUGUGGAACUUUUGGGUUAUAAUUUAUAAAAUCUCUCUGUAUCCAUAUGACACACAUUAUUGGAUAAAUUGAAUAUUUUUCAUAAAAAUUUAGGCAGAAUUUUUCCCCUUUUCUUUUUAAUAAAACAAAUUAUAUUUUGAAAACUCAAGUGUUAUUUAUAGUUCUAUAAUUUGAUGCAGUGAAUAUUUUAACUGCAAAUUGAUAUGGACGACAGCGGUUUCGGUUCCAAAUAACGUGAACAGUUACCGUUUUGGCUGCUGUUCUAAAAUCGACGGUUCCAUACAGUUUUUCAGACCUACCUUCAAAUCAAGAUUUAAUUUUCAAAAUUUCAAAUUCAAAAUCAACAUCAACUUUGCCCCCAUCAAUUUCCAAAACGGCUGUUGUUUAAAAUUCAAAUUGUUAAAGACUUCACACACUAGCCCCUUCCAUUCCUACUAUGAGAAUGGAUAUUCUUGAUUUCAGAAUUACUAAGGAACAGUAGAAAAAUAUCAAAUAUUUAAAAGGGAUAAACAUAAGAUAUUGAGAUUCAAAAUCCAAAAUAUAUGUGACAGAUAUAAAAAAGAAAAGCAAGUGUAUAGUUGUAAUAUAUAUGUCUUUUCAUAUUAGUUAGUAAUUUUUUUAAAAUCCAUUAGUUAAUAGUUUAUUUGCACAUUAACACAUGAUCUAGGGUUAAAUUCACGUAUGGUUUGAUAAUAAAUUUAAAUUUAAAUUUAAAUUUCCCUCUUUGAAUAUUUAAAAAGAGUUGAAUUUUUUAACAAAGGAAUGAUUAAUUAAUAAAUUUAAUUUGUUUUCAAAAAGAAAAGUUGAUAAGGAAAAUAACAUGAUUAGAUUGUUUUAGAAAAUUUUUUAUUUAAAUUAACUGUAAAGUAUGUUUUUAUUAAUUUAAAAAUACCUUUUAUUCUAUAUCAAACAUAAUAUAUAAAUUUAUUGUUAAAUUUUAUAAUUUUAUAGUCCCUACAUUCUACAAAAAUAGAUUUAUUUAUAUUUCUACACACUUUAAGAAAAAAAGCAAUAAUAUUAUUGACAUAACAAAUUUUAUUUGUAUUAUUUUAAUAUAUGUCAAUAUUAAUAUUAGAUGUGACUUUCAAUAAUUUUAUAAAUUAAAAAAGCAAAAAUGGAAAAUAAAACUUUUUUGGUGCAUCAAACAAACAAUCUCUUAAUAAUAAUUCAAAUAAUAUGGGACUGAAUUUAUUUACAUAGAUUCUCAGAUUAUAUAUUUUGUUUUAAAGUUUAUUUCAAUAGAUAACUCGAGUUUAAUUUAGUUAUUUCUGAUUCUAAAACACUCAUAGAAUCUAAACUUUAUAUUGUUGUGGAGUGAAUUAAGAGUCAAGAUAAUGUAAGUACCCAUUGCCCUGUUAGAGCUUCUUACCGUCAUGCUCGUAUCCAAAUUUAUCCAUUAAUGUUUAUGAGGUUAUUUUUCAUCCAGCUAAUGAAAUCUCAUUAUUCUCUUUUAGAAAAAAUAAUAAUAGAAAAAAUAAUAAUUUAAAUAAUAAUAAAAGAACAAAAUAAUUUCAGAAGGCCAUCUAUAGUACUCUUUGGCCUUUGAUGCCACCGAGAUGCUCACAGCGCUGUCAUUCCAGAAGUUUCUCUUCAUUUCAUUAUUGUUUUUUAAAAUAAAAGCCCAAUUUCCUUUUUAUUUUUUUUAAGUUAUAAUAGACAAAUUACAGGUCAGUAACAGCUUUCCACGACGAAGCAGACUACAAACUAGAAAAGACUGACCUUCUCAGGAAACAAAAAAUUAAACAACACAACUCAUCUCGUCUCGUCUCGUCUGGUCUAUUCUCGUCUCCUAUUCCCAGUAGAAUACACCUUAGUACCUGCAAAACUUAAACCUAAAUCACUUUCUUUUUUCCCUUUCUAUUGUUAUUCAAUUUCCAAUAUUCAAACCCUAACAGAUCGGUUCUUCAUCGUCCGUACUCCGAAUUAAUCAAUCAUGCCUUCCCGUCGAAGAACUCUCUUGAAGGUCAUAAUCCUCGGCGAUAGCGGGUCAGUCACCUGUACUUACAUGGUUAAUUCACCGCUUAUUUUGCAAAGUUCUAGGGUUUUGUUUUUAGGUUAAGCUGAUCUUUCGAGAUCUUAUUGCUUUUGUUACUUGCUCAAGUUCAACUAUGUCAAUUAUGAUCUGAUUGAGGAGUUUUUGCUUAGGUAAUUGAAUUGUUGAUUAGGAGUUGGUGUAUCUAUUUUGGUUUUAGGGUAAAAUUGAGUGUAUAAUUUUGUUUAUGUUAAUUGAAAAUAUACAUUUGAAGUGAUUAAGGAUGUUGUUGUCGAUAAAUUGUUGUUAAUGGUGGUUUUUGGGAUUGUUUGUUGAUGUUUAAGAUAAUGAAUUUGCAUUUGUUUUUUAUUUACAGGGUCGGGAAGACCUCUUUGAUGAAUCAGUAUCCUUCUGUUAUUGGCUUUUUGAUUAGUGAUUUCUAUUCCUUCUCUUGAAGGGGAAAUAAAUGCAUUCUCGUAAAUCUAGGAAGUGGUGCCUUUUCUACUUUUGUUUUCUUGACUUAAUUGCUUUUAGAUAUGUGAAUAAGAAGUUUAGCAAUCAAUAUAAGGCAACAAUCGGAGCUGAUUUCUUGACUAAGGAAGUGCAGUUUGAAGAUAGGCUCUUCACUUUACAGGUUUGUAGUAGUACAUGGCCUAUUAUAUGAAAUCGUGAUGUAACUUAAAGUUUGCUUAUGCACUACCGUGCAUUCACUUUCUGUGGUUUCUUCCUUUUGGGUUGGUUUGGAGUAUAUAUUUUAGGAAUAAGGUAAUGUCUUUUAGCUGUUGACUUUCCAUUUUUCAUCUUUUUUUUUUCUAUAUAAUAUUUCUUAUGCAAUCGGUAUAGUGAGGGUGGGAGAGGGCAGGGCUAAAGCUCUAGUCUUUGCUUGCAGUCCACUACUGAUAUGUGUGAAUCGUCUUUCCUUGUUGCUGCUGAGUCAUAGAGGUAAUUGUUUGGACUAGAUGACAAUAUGCAGAAAUAAAUGAAGGUUCAGAAUGAAAAAGCUCAGUUGGUAGCCUAACUUACCUAUAUUUCCUUUUCGCCCAGGAGCAAUAAUGGUCAUGGCUUCUAUCUGGGGGCAGGGGGAUUUUGGAUUAGUGGAAAUCCAGUUGGUACUGACAAGCGACAACACUUAUUGCAGAUAGUUGGGUUGGGAAGGCCAUAAACUUUAGGGUUGCUAAAAGUAGAACUGUCUGGGACAAUCUUCAGGGCCAUAUUAUAAUUAAUUACAAUUAGCGCCACAAAAUCAGGGCUGUGUUUUAGGCUUGUGGUAAGUUGCAAAUUUGAGGUUUCCUUCCAUAAUGAAUCUAGGAAUGAAAUCCUCUAUGUGGUGACUGCGCACUAGAGGUCGGUCAAGAGGUAGUAGUAUUACCAUUGGUACUCUCCUAGUCUGCUGAUUGAUGGUUGCGUUCCCUUAUCAUUUGUGGGACAUCUUGUUCUAAGGUGGUCACUGCAUGAGUUUUGUAGGCUAAGGCAUUGUGUUCUGCUUGUCCCAAUUGCUCAACUAUCAUAUUUUUGGCACAAAUUAAUUCUGUGCUUUAUUGCUGGUAAUAUGUAUUUUUGUGGCUUGUUGAAUUCCUGAUUGAUUUUAUUAGUUAAUCUGCUAGUGUUUUACUUGUAUAUUUUGUAUUCUGUUGUUUUGGCAGAUCUGGGAUACUGCUGGCCAGGAAAGAUUCCAAAGUCUUGGCGUUGCUUUCUAUCGUGGUGCUGAUUGUUGUGUUCUUGUAUAUGAUGUUAAUUCAAUGAAAUCAUUUGACAAUCUCAAUAAUUGGAGAGAAGAAUUCCUCAUACAGGUAUUAUUUGAUUUAUCUGCAAAUUUACAGGGCAUUAUUGAACAGAAUACAUGAUUUUCUUAGUUGUUUUCUUCAUAAUUUUAUGCCUCUGCAAAUUUAUCUGUCUGUAGGCAAGCCCUUCUGAUCCAGAGAAUUUCCCAUUUGUUGUUCUUGGAAACAAGAUUGAUGUGGAUGGUGGAAAUAGUAGAGUGGUAUGCAUCUUCUUGAAUUUGUUGCGCUGUACACUUUUACAUGUGUUUCCAAUGUGCUUGUGCAUUUUGUUUAUGUGUUGAAAUCAAUACUUUUGCUUGUUAAUUUCAGGUUUCAGAAAAAAAGGCAAGAGCGUGGUGUGCCUCUAAAGGGAAUAUACCAUACUUUGAGACUUCAGCCAAAGAAGGCAUCAACGUUGAAGAAGCUUUCCAAUGCAUUGCAAAGAAUGCCCUGAAGAGUGGGGAAGAGGAGGAGAUGUAAGUUGCCAAACUGACCAUUUUUAUCUGCAUGGACUUAUUCUAUACUAUCUCAUGGGGAUUGCAAAUCAACAAGUCUUGCUAAUUUUCUGGCCUGAUAAAAUUUGAAUUACAUGUUAAAUUAAAAUACCUUUUAAGUAAUGUCAUACUGUUGCCCAAUAGUGUAAUGAUUUAAGAUUUGGAUUGGCUAGUGAGAAUAUUUGAAAAUUGAUUCAAUACGCAAGCAGACAAUGUGGCCAAUGUGGUUGACAUGCAAAUGCCGCCAAUAGAAUUGUUAUUUAUAUCUAAAUAACAUGCAUCCGAUUUAUGUUUGAAUAUUUUUAAAAUGACACUGACAUCACUUUUUCUGUUGUCCUUCUGGUGGCAAUUUUAUGGUGUGAAGAUACUUGCCAGAUACCAUUGAUGUUGGUAACAGCAGUCAGCCUAGGUCAACUGGAUGUGAGUGCUAAAACUGUGGCUUUUGAUUCUUGAGAUUCAAUAACCUAUCAAGUCUUAUAAAUGGUUUGGCCUCUUUCUAGCGAUUCUUAUUCGUAUGUAUGAGUUUAUACUGUACAUUAGCGUUUGUGGGAAACAAAUUGGUCAAUUGGUGCUGGUUUUGGUGCCUUUCUGUAAAACUGCUGUGAUUUGUUCAGGUUGUGGUUGAUUUGUUCUAGGCACUAUCCUGUUACUGUUAUUUAGUCUUGUUACUAUCACAAAAGUCAUUUCUUUUUUGUUUAAUGAUCAAUGUAUUUGAUUUGAGUUCCAUAAAUAGAAACAUUACAUAUCAAUGCUUUUUAGUUUGUUGAAAACAAUUAAAGUAAAUGCUUAAAGAUGUUUCAAAAGUUUUCUUUUUAAGGUGAUUUUAUUCUCCCCAAUAAUGGGAUAUACAAGGAAAACAUACUAAAAAGAUGCUCCAUCUAUAAGAUUUUUAAACCAUGGUAAUUAAAGAAGUAUUUAAUUUUAUUAAUUACUUCUUAAUUUAGGAUAUGUAGAAAUUUUGAUUUUAUAUAUUGCUGUUUUAGAAAUCACUUCUAAGGUUUGAGGAGAAUAGUGAAAGACGAAUUGAGUUAGGUUUGAUCAGCCAAAAGUGAAAUUGAAAAAAGAAACGAAGCUUUCAUUUUCAUGAAUAACCCCAUGCUUAUUGACCACAAAACAAAAGCCAUCCAAUAGAAAUAGGAACCACUCGUUCGGUUCAGUUUAAUUGAAUUAAAUUAGUGUAAAUCAGAAAUCAAACAAUUACAUCUUGAAUUCAUUCGAUUUGAUUUUUAAUUAAUUUUGAAUCAAUUUGAAUUUAUUUUUUUACAAAAUCAAAAGAUGAGCUUAAUCGAAACUUAUUCUACGCCUAGACACAAGAGGUUCUACAAGUGCAUGAACUCUCUCUCUCUCUCUCUUCCCCCUUGUUUAGGUAACUAUUAUCUUAUUCGAGGGUAUUGAAGCACCUAAUAUAAUUCGAAAUUACAUAAAAAAAAAUUUAUAUGUAUAUAAUAUUGAUUAAUUUUCUUAAAGCAACCCUAUCGCACUUUACAUUAUAUGAGACAUGCAAUUACAAAAUUUUAAAACCAAACGCCCAAGUUUUGAGUUGAAACUUGGAAUUUCGUAAAUUUAUUUAACAUUCAAUGUGGAAUAAUCAAUUCAAGUCUUCAAUUUAGGCCAAUAUGGAAGAAGAAAACCAUCAAUUGAAACUUUAUUUUUGUCUUAAAAAUAAAAUAAAGAUACUAUAUUAUUACUUUUUGUACAUUAUGCCAUUAAUCAACUAGUUAUUACAUAAAUUAAUGAUGAAGAACAAAAUGAUAACUAAAGAAAAUACUAUAUAUAAUUUUCUACCUAGCUAUAUAUACUUGUAAUAAUAAUCAAUUAAACCUUGAAUAUAAUUGUAAUAAUAUGAUCACAUCACCACCCAAUAGAAAAUAUUGUGUUUAUGUGCAAAACAGAAUUUUGUACCUAUUGGACCUAAAACUGAAUAGUUUUAGAAGGAGAAUAAUGACAAAACAUUCACAAGCUAAAAAUGGGUAAAAUUUGCUGAACAAAACAAACUAACUACUUAAAAUUCAAAAAUAGAUUAAAGUGACUAAGAGGCUAAGAGCUAGCCUAAGCAACUAAUUAACAAACAAUGUGUCAUCUAGUGAGAUUUACACUAAGUCUUAGGCUGCGUGGUUACAAAGGGUUCAACUUAAAAGUAGGAAAAACAGAAAACCUCACUGUCAAAGACAAGAAUUUCCUCCUUUCUAGGAGGGGUUUCUGUGAGGUGUACACGGUUUUCCCUUUCUUCUUGUAACUCUAUUACCAUGCAAGACCAUUUCUUUCCACAUUUUGAGAAUCCUUCCACCCUUCUCCCAUAGGUACUCUCUCUCUCUCUCUCUCUCUCUCUCACACACACACACACACACACACACACUCACACACAAGAACAAGAACACAUCUAUUAGUAAAAAUAUUUUAUGAGCUUAGAAGUAGUCAUGACCAUCAAAAUUUAACUUUUCAUUGGUUAUUGAUCUUAUUGUUCUUAGAUUGUUUAAUUUUAUGCAUGUUAUUAAUCCUUUAGUAGUUCUGAGUCUUUAAGAUUAUUCAUAUGUUGUUCUUCAAUUAGUAUUCAUUUUCUUUAAUGAAUAUUGUUUUAUUUUGCUAAAGCAUAUAUAUAUAUAUAUAUGUUUCUUAUUCUUAGGGAUUACAAGGGAGAUCAUUUGGAGGAGUGGUGGGGGUAGACCGUUGCCUUUGUAAGAAUAAUAUAUAGGUCGGAAGUUCUUCUUAUGGCUUCUGCCCCGUCACCGGACUCCUCACCUUCUCCUCCUCCUCCUCCUUCAUCAUCAGCAAAUUCGCCAUCUCCAUCAUCUUCACCUUCCCCACCUCCUCCACUAUCCUCACCACCACCACCACCAAAUAAGAAGUCAUCUCCACCCCCACCUUCAAAUAAAGCGCCACCCCCGCCAAAUAACUCAAAUGCUUCACCACCACCACCUCCUUCCUCUUCUAAGACAAAUACACCACCACCUCCUUCCUCUUCUAACACAAAUACACCACCACCGCCGCCAAAUAACAGUGACAAUAAUGAUAAAUUUUCACCCCCACCCUCGCCUCCAUCAUCAUCCAAAUCCAGUCGUCCACCACUACCACCACCAUUAGCGUCCGGAUCAACUGAUAAAUCCUCUAGUACCAUUGUACCCAUUGUAAUUGGAGUUGUGGUCGGGGUGGCAGCCAUGCUUCUACUUGCAUCACUUGUUUACCUGUGUACAAGCAAAAAGAAAAAGAAGAAGAGAAUAGAGUAUGAUUACUACAGUAGCGACCCAUCUCCUGCACUCAAUGGUACCACCUUCAAAACUUCAUCUUUCUGAUAAAUAACAAUGUAAAGAAGAGUUAUUUUCUUCCAUUAUAUAUGUGUGUAUAUAUAAAUUAUUACACUCCAACUUAGAUUCAAGUUUACGAUUUAACAGUUUAUAGCUCUAUAGAUUCAUAUGUUGAUUUCAUUUUUAAAUGAAAAAUGGUUAUAUAUGAAACGCACAUGCAGGUGGUAAUAGUUAUUAUCCAACUACUCAACGGCCAACUAAUAAUUGGCAGAUGGGAAACCAAUAUAACAAUGAUCAAAUGGGCAACUUACCUCCACCUCCUGGUGCUCAUGGGUGGCCAUCACCAUCACCACCACCUCCACCAGCACAAUCACCAGGUCCGCAACAACCUCUCCCUGGUACAAAUGCAUCAACUGGUAGUGACAAGAGCUCAAAUUUCUCAGGUCCACAUGGUCCAGCCUUGCCUCCUCCGCACCCAUUGGUGGCUCUGGGGUUCACUCACAGCUGUUUCAGCUACGAGGAGCUAGCAGCAGCGACUGACGGUUUCUCUAAAGCUAACCUACUAGGCCAAGGCGGGUUCGGGUACGUGCAUAAAGGAGUUUUGGCUAAUGGUAAAGAAAUUGCAGUGAAAAGUCUUAAAGUUGGCAGCGGACAAGGAGAUCGUGAAUUUCAAGCCGAAGUGGAGAUUAUUAGCCGUGUCCACCAUCGCCAUCUUGUGUCGCUUGUUGGAUAUUGUAUGGCAGGUGGCCAACGGUUGCUGGUUUAUGAGUUUUUACCCAAUUCCACCCUUGAACAUCACCUCUAUGGUAAGAAACCUCAAAUCAUUAGAGUAUUCUCCCAAGCAUUUCCCUCCAUUAUUAACCGAAACACAAGUUCCAUACUGAAAAAUGCACUUUGCCGUUGCGCGCAAAGAAGAAUUACACCUCCGGUCAUCAAUGCAUGUACCAAACAUUUUCAUUUGGUCAUUUUUUUCUUUCUCGAAAUUUUGCAGGUAAGGGUCAGCCUACCAUGGAUUGGUCCACUAGGCUCAAAAUUGCCCUAGGAUCAGCCAAAGGACUUGCUUACUUGCAUGAAGAUUGUAAGUCAUCAAUAAUUAUUACAUUAUUAAAGCUUCAACACUGAGAAUAAAAAUUAAACCUCUUGAAUGGCAAAACUUUCAUAAUUAACUUCAACAAAAAAAAAUAAUAAUAAUAAUAAAAAAGAUAAAUGUUUUCAUAUUUUUUUUUAAUUGUUCGAUUUGGCUCAAUUUUGAAUUAUGAUAAGUUUUGAUGAUUUCUGUUUGAUUUAAUUUUAAUAAUAAAAGUUAAAAUAACUAAAUAGAACUGAACUAUAUAUUUAUAUAGAAAUAUAAACAUAUUAUUUUAACAGACUUUGAAAUUUUGGUUAUUUUGAUUUUAUUUUUUAGUUAUUUCUAGAAUUUUAUUUUUUAUUUUUUUACAAAAAUUAGGUUAGUUUGAUUUUUUUUUUUUUUUUUUUUUUAAAGAACUUCCUUCUUAAUUUUAUAAAAUUCAAACUGAACGGACCGAAUGUUUACCUCUACUCUCCCAUUAUAACAUGUUUGAUACAGGUCAUCCUCGCAUUAUCCAUCGAGACAUUAAAGCUGCAAAUAUUUUGCUUGAUUUCAAUUUUGAAGCGAAGGUACGUUUAUCAUCUGCAAUAUUAUAUAUAAAAUUUAUUAAUUUUCCUCCAUUUUGGAUUAAUUUAGAUUGAAUUAGUUCGUCUAAUAAUUAUUUCUGUGUUGAAUCAACACUAAUUAUCAGGUGGCAGAUUUUGGGUUGGCCAAGCUAAAUUCAGACAAUUUUACCCAUGUCUCAACUCGUGUCAUGGGAACUUUUGGGUUUGGAUCUUUUACUUAAUUAAUUUUCGAUUUUUCCACUAAUUAAUAUCUCGAAAAAAUGUUAAUUUUAUAUCCAGUAAACGCAAACAUGUCUUACUGCUUGAGCAAUGGUUAAUUAGUUUCAUUAUAAUUAGAUAUUCACAAGCAAUAUAGAUUAAUCUGUAAUUGCAAUACGAAACUUAGAUGAAAGUUUAAUGGGAUUAAUUAUUAUAAUUAAAUAACUAAUGAUGAUUUUUUCCAUUGCAGGUACUUGGCUCCUGAGUAUGCAUCUAGUGGCAAGCUUACUGAGAAAUCUGACGUUUUCUCCUUUGGUGUAAUGUUAUUGGAACUCAUAUCUGGACGCCGUCCUGUGGAUAUAAAUUCAGAGAUGGAUGAGAGUCUUGUUGACUGGGUGACCAUUUCUCUACCCUUAACUUCGACUAAAAUUUAUUUUAAAACGAUGAAUUUCCAAUUCUCUUAAUCAUAAAAAUUAUAUGAAAGUAAACAAAUUAAAUUUUCUAACAGCAUUUUCCAACAUUUUUUGUAAAAACCAAUUCAAUCUAAAAGCAAAACAAACUAAAUAUGUAGAUUAUCUUGGAAGGUUAAAAUAGGAUGAUAAGAAUCUUUUAUGUUUUAAUUAGAAAUUUUGAGUUCGAGUUUUGAAUAUGGAGUUUUUUUUUUUUUUUUGAAAGAGAUAUGAAAUCUUUUUAAUAUUCGGGAAUAAGCAUUUUGCCCUGCUUUAUGGCCAAUCCGAUGUGAAUCUGGAUUAGUCGAGCUAAUAGGCACACUGGAUGAUUGAAACCAAACUAAAUAUGCGGAAGAAUAUCUUCAAAUGUUACUUGUUUUAUGCAUCCACAGGCGAGACCAUUAUGUGCCAGUACAGUGGAAAGUGGAAAUUUUCAAGCAAUGGCAGAUCCUCGUCUGGAUGGCAACUAUGAUUCAGCUGAAAUGGCACGCAUGGUUGCUUGUGCUGGUGCGGCCAUUAGACAUUCAGCCAGAAGACGACCAAAAAUGAGCCAGGUAAUUGCAAACAAACUCUUAAUCACAUAUUUAAUCAAUUACUAUUAUCACUAUUUUUUUUUAAAUAGAUUAGAAUAUUACUUGUUUAUCAACCAUCCCAGAGUCUCCAAAUAUGAAAUGUUUCGUGUAUAUUUAUGCUAAUUACAAAGAAUUUUAUCUACGAAGCAGAUUGUUCGAGCUCUAGAAGGCGAUGUCUCGCUAGAUCACUUGAAUGAAGGGGUCAAAACUGAUCAACGAGGGCUCGAUUCUACUAGUUAUAGUUCAGAGUAUGACAGUGCCUCAUAUAGUGCAGACAUUAAGAAGUUUAGGAAGAUGAUAUUAAUGGACAGUAGCCAAGAAUAUGCAAGCAGUGAUUAUGGUCACACAAGUGAGUAUGGACUCAACCCUUCCUCUUCAAGCAGCGAAGGUGAGACAGGUAGCGGAAAGAACAGUCCUCGAUGAAGGAAAAAUUAUCGGAUUCUCAAAUUUUAAGCAAAGAAAUUAUCGCCAUUGAUUGGUAUUUGGAUGAAUAGACUAAUUUUCAAGAACUGGGUUAUUACUAUUAAAAUGCGAGUUUAUUUCUUCUAGCAAAUGGGAAGAGUGAGAGUGAUAAUUUUAUCAUGAAACUGCAACUAUUUGUUUAGGUUUAGCCUUCAUCAAAUGGAUGAUGGUGAAGGCACAAUUACAUUGUCCUUGUCUUUGUAAUCUUGCAUUCGUCAUUAAUGGAGUUCUUGUAGAAUUUGUCGAUUUGAGUAAAUUUCUGUUGGAAAAUUGAUGCUUAUUAUUAUUAUUGUUUUAACACUAAGCAGUGGUAGAAGCUCAAAUUAACAACCAACUUGUCAAGCUCACACAGCUAUCUAAUAGAUUUAAGACUCUCGCUCUCGCGGUAAUUUAUAAAACCUCUUGAUCUGUUGAUGGUUAUUUAUAUAUAAACAAAAUAGAUAAACAUAACUUAGUUAAGAAUUAUAACUCUAUCAAAAAUAUAUAUAUAUAAUCGUGUUUGAAUAUCAACUUGUGAAUUUCAUUGAAUUUUUAAAAUUCAUUUGUGAAAUUCGUAUUUUUAUAUUUAGUAUUAAAAUUGUUCAUUUCAUUUAUGAUUUUUUCAAAAAAGUUUGAAUUUGUUAAGUUUAACAUAAUACAACAUCACUCUAUUGUGUUUGAAAUAUAUAUUCGAGAAUUUAGCCAAUUUAAAAAUAAUUAAAGUCCUUUUAAGAUUUAAUUUGGUAUUUUAAUGAAUUAAAAUAAAAGUAAUAGAAAUUAAUCAAAUUACCAUAGUUGAACUUUUAAAGUGCAUAAAACAGCUAUUUUCAUGGAAUAGUUAUUUCUAUAAAAUAGUUAUUCCAUAGAACAACAAAUUUCAGCGUUGAGUUUAGGAUGAACUUUUAAAUAUAUAAAUAAUUUAUUGCUUAUUAAUAAAAAAAAUUAACUAUUGUCAGAAAUUUAAGAAAAUAUUUUCUUUAAAAAAUAAGUAUUUUAUUAUAAUGUUAUUUCAUAUUGCGAAUUCAAUGCUAUUACUGUGUUCAAAUAUCGAACAAAGAAUUCGUAUAUGAAUAUAUGAUAUGCAAAUAUCUUUGAUACCAAAUUUAAAUGUGAAAAAUGUAAAAAUUUUGAAAAAUACGACACCUAAUUUGUAAAUUCCUGCACAAAUUAAAAUCGAUGAGUCUGGCCAAUAAAAAUUCAAAAUCGCAAAUGUUUUAUUUUCUGUAGUACCAAAAUAAUUAAUUAAUAUUAGAUUUGGAUACAUUAAAACAUAUCCUGCCCAAACUUUUGUCUAACAAGUUAAGAAACCAUGAUUUGGGGCAGUUUAGGAAUUAAAUUGACAGAACAUGGUGACGUGGCCUUUACUGAUUAGUCACACUCCAUCCUCCACCUUCGUAGCAUCAUUUUAUGCAUUGAGGUCACAAAUGGUAACGAGCAGAAAAUAUUAGAUCCCUCGUCUUCGAAAUUUCACUGCCAGAGAGAAACACAGAGAGAGGGAAAGGGUCUCUAUAAGUACGACAAUCUACCCUGCAGAUCUUGAAGAUUCGUAGCUUUUAGCAAUGGCUCAGCCUCUCAUAAAGAAAGACGACGACCGCGACGACGAAGGUAUUGAAUCCGUUUUCAUCUUCUUCACUUACGACACGAUCUCAUUUUCUACUCGAUUUCAUACUUCGAUUUCAAUUUCCCUAUUUAAUUUAGGGCUUAAUUGCAGAAUCCUAAGUUACCGGCAUUAGAUCAAUUGUUAGCUUCUAGAUCUGUGCCAUUCUCUUUUUAUAAACAUGUUUGCUUGUUUGUUUCAUUACAGUAGGUCCAAAUUUUAAGAGCUUUUAAGCUGAUUUGGUGUAGCUUUAGUUGAUCUGAUCUCUAUAACAAAGAUUGAAGUUGGUAUAUGCUUUCCUAAUCCCUAAAUCCCAAUGUGCAUUGGUAAUUCUGUGCAUCUCUGCUAGAAAAAGUUGAUCUAAUGGGACUUGUAAUUCUUAGUACAUAAUACAUAUGGCGCUCUAGUUGUUGUUUUUAUCGAUCUUAAUUGAACAAGUCCUUAUUGGUUAGCCAGUGGUAUUCAUUGUUAAGCCCUCAUUUUAAGGGAUCUGAUAGAGCUCUGUAUUUGCCAUCUUGCUGUAAAUCUCAAUAGAUUUAGUGCUCUUUCUAGAUUUAUCUAAUGUGGAUUUUCUGGUGACAUGGAUUACCUAGAUUAGUUAUUGAUGCACUAAAAAUUAUAGUGUAUUUUCAAUUAUGAUUAUAGUAUACAAGGAAGGACCAAUAACAUGUAUGAUUCUGUGAUAUUUAUUUUUGUCAGCGGAGUUCUCUCCAUUUCUUGGUAUUGAGAAGGGUGCAGUUCUUCAGGAAGCCAGGGUUUUCAAUGACCCUCAGCUUGAUCCAAGAAAAUGCUCUCAGGUUUUUGCUUUAUACUGCCUCAUUAUCUAUUUACAAUACAUAUGACCUGCUUGUGCUUAUUCAGAGAAAAAGAGGUAGGAGGGAAAAUAUGGGACCCAUUUGCUUAUGAAUUUUGGUAUGUUAUUUUUCUUUCAGGUCAUUACAAAGCUUCUAUAUCUUCUGAACCAAGGAGAAACAUUCACUAAGGUCAAGUAUUUCUGCUGGAGAGCUUACAUCUUGACUGUCUCAUGAGCAACGAGAGACAUGCUCUUUUUUUUUUUUUUGUAUAUAUUUGGAACAAAAUGAAACCUUGUCUGAAAUACUUUUUUUUGCAUUAUUCUUAUAGGUUGAAGCCACAGAAGUUUUCUUUGCUGUGACAAAGCUUUUUCAGUCCAGGGAUAUAGGUUUAAGGAGAAUGGUCUAUUUGAUGAUAAAGGAAUUAUCCCCAUCAGCAGAUGAGGUCAUAUUGCUAUGCUUUUAUUGGCAUCUCCUAUUUAUAAUGUUGUUAUUACUUAUUCUUUAGUUCAGAUGUAGAUACUGACUAGCUACAUUCUUCCCUACAAAAGGUUAUAAUUGUGACAAGCUCCCUUAUGAAGGACAUGAAUAGCAAGAGUGAUAUGUACCGUGCAAAUGCUAUUCGUGUGCUUUGUCGGAUAACAGAUGGAACCCUGCUCACCCAAAUUGAGCGAUACUUGAAACAAGCAAUUGUUGACAAGAAUCCAGUGGUUGCUAGUGCAGCCUUGGUUAGUGGUAUCCAUUUACUCCAGGUACUAUUUAAUUGUCUUACAUCUUCUUUUAGUUUUUGUUUUUGGAAUUACCUAAUAUGUUCUUUACUGUUUGGCAGACAAAUCCAGAGAUAGUGAAAAGGUGGAGCAAUGAGGUUCAGGAAGCUGUGCAGUCAAGAGCUGCCCUUGUACAAUUUCAUGCACUGGCAUUACUCCAUCAGGUAUGGUUAGAUUUGAGUUUAAUUAGCAUUCCCAGCUCUAUGUAGAAUUUGAAUAUGGUUUUUAUGAGAUAAAUCAAAGAUGGUUGCCUAAGUAAAAAGUUUCUCUUUGAAGAUCAAUGGUUGCAGGUGAUAUACUUGCUAAAGGUAAUUUGUUUUGUGGAUGCGGAGUGGAUUUGAGUUUAAGUUAACAACUUCAUUGCCAAUUAUCAGUUCUAUGAUAGCAUUUCUUUUAUCAAAAAAAUGGAUACAUACAUUAUUGAGGCCUUCUUGGCAUUCUUUUUGACUUACCAUUCUCUGAAUGUUGUGCAAUUGUGCUACAUUUUUGUUUCAUUUUCUAUUUCUUGAGUUAUAUAUGAAUGUUCAUAUUCUUUGUGCUGUAUUUUUUUUUUCUUGUAUUAGCUGAAUCAUUGCUCAGGCUGCUUGAAUGUGGAUUCAGUGGACCAUUUUAUUAAGAUGCUUGUGCUUUUAAAACCAUGCAGAUACGGCAGAAUGAUCGACUAGCUGUCAGCAAAUUAGUUACCAGUCUGACUAGGGGAACUGUUCGCUCGCCGCUGGCCCAAUGCCUCUUGAUACGUUAUACAAGUCAGGUUAGUGUAUGCCACUUGAACUUAUGUUUGACAGUGAUAUUUUUUAUUUUGUUACUAUACAUGAAAUUGUUUUUACGUGCAGGUUAUUCGUGAGUCAGGUGCUAACACUCAAACAGGGGACCGUCCUUUCUAUGAUUUUCUGGAGGGUUGUUUGCGCCAUAAGGCAGAGAUGGUGAUUUUUGAGGCUGCCAGAGCUAUCACAGAGCUUAGUGGUGUCACAAGCCGAGAAUUGACUCCAGCAAUCACUGUUCUGCAGCUCUUUUUGAGUUCUUCCAAACCUGUGCUGAGAUUUGCUGCUGUCCGCACCUUGAACAAGGUAAACGAGUUUUCCUUUAAGCUAUUAAAGGCUAGAUUUUGGUUUUUCGGGAAUGCUGCAUGAUGGGUGCAAGGGGAAUAGGUAUUUCUUUCAUGAUUUUCAAGGAUUUGGAAUCACAUGCUAAACUGCUGAAUGUUUCAUCGAUUUGAAGGUGGCAAUGACACAUCCAAUGGCAGUCACUAACUGCAACAUUGAUAUGGAGAGUUUAAUUUCUGACCAGAACAGAAGCAUUGCCACUCUUGCAAUCACAACACUGCUUAAGACAGGAAAUGAAUCAAGUGUAGAUCGCCUGAUGAAGCAGAUUACAAAUUUCAUGUCAGAUAUUGCUGAUGAGUUCAAAAUUGUUGUGGUGGAAGCCAUAAGGUCACUGUGUUUGAAGUUUCCCUUGAAGUACAGAACACUGUGAGUGAUAUUUUUACUAGGCUUCAUUGUCAUCUGUUCUCUAAUUUAUUAGCAACCACAAGUUUAUGUUUUUUUUUUUUUCUUUUUGUUUGUAGUAUGAACUUUUUAAGCAACAUCCUUCGGGAAGAAGGUGGAUUUGAGUAUAAAAAGGCAAUUGUAGAUUCCAUAGUCAUUCUCAUCAGUGAUAUCCCUGAAGCUAAGGAAAGUGGGUUGCUUCAUUUGUGUGAGUUCAUUGAAGAUUGUGAAUUUACAUAUCUUUCGACACAGGUGACUAUCUAUCAAUUUAGUGAUUUUAUUUAUUUGUGUUUUCCUUCCGUCCCCUUUAAAAUCUAUCCUAAUUCACUUGUUGUUAGAUACUCCAUUUUCUUGGGAUUGAAGGGCCAAAGACCUCGGAUCCCAGCAAAUACAUACGCUACAUCUACAAUCGCGUACAUCUUGAGAAUGCAACCGUUCGGGCUGCUGCCGUGAGCACGUUAGCCAAGUUUGGUGCUUUGGUUGACACAUUGAAGGUAUUACUGGCAUAUUUGUGUGCUUGUGUUGUUUGCUCCAACUAUUCUAGGUGAAUUGUCAGUUGCUGACUGUUGAUUAAUAUUCUUGUGCUCUCUAUGCCAGCCUCGCAUUUUUGUUCUGCUGAGACGUUGUCUUUUUGACAGUGAUGAUGAGGUAGGUUCCCAUAUAAUAAUGGAAUUGCUGAACGUUCUCUUCUAUUGGUACAUUUACAUUUUUUUGUUUCUAUCUGUAUGUAUGUUCAUUAUCAAUAUUAUUUUUAAUAAAAGAUUUGUUUAAUGUUGAAAUAUUCAAUUUAUUUCUCCGUUACUCCUUUAUAAUAGUUUGAAAAUGUUAUUGUUGUUAGGUUUGAUUUAUGCAGUUAUCUCUCUGACUUGUUUUACAGGUUCGCGAUAGGGCAACACUUUAUCUUAAUACUCUUGGUGGCGACGGUGAAGUAGUUGAAACUGAUAAAGAUGUACAAGCUUUUCUUUUUGGUCCACUAGAUAUCCCACUAUUUAACUUGGAGACAAGUUUGAAAAAUUAUGUAAGUUUUUUCUCUGUCCUGUACGUUUUGUAUAGCUAAAUGACAAUUUUCAUGUUUAUUAAUGCGUUAUUGUUAAAAUGAGAGAUUUAUGUCUAUUAACCUUUGAAUUAGGGAUUAUGCAUUAGGGUCGAGAAAUUUAUGGAUAACAUAUAGUGUGAUAAGCUCCAAUAUCAAUACAACUUAUUGGUGCAUAUUUUUAAAUGUUUAUUGAUUGUCGUCAUCUGAUAUAUAUUAUUGUUCUUACAGGAGCCAUCAGAAGAGCCUUUUGAUAUUCAUUCUGUGCCAAAGGAAGUUAAGUCUCAGCCACUUGCAGAGAAGAAAGCCCCAGGCAAGAAGCCAACUGGUCUCGGUUCUCCUCCAGCUGGUCCCCCAUCUACUGUUGAUGCCUAUGAAAAGCUUAUUUCCUCCAUCCCAGAGUUCUCGAACUUUGGGAAGCUCUUCAAGGUUUACAUUUUAAACUCUUUAACUCGUUGGCUGAAUUUAUUUUGCAUUAAUGAAUCUUUAGACUUACUAUGUGCUGUUUCCUUAUUGUUCCUUCAACAGUCAUCGGCACCUGUGGAACUUACAGAAGCAGAGACAGAAUAUGCUGUUAAUGCUGUUAAGCAUAUUUUUGAUGGGCAUGUUGUCUUCCAGUACAAUUGCACCAAUACAAUACCAGAGCAAUUACUGGAAAAUGUAUGAAAGCAACUUAAUAUUUUUCCAAGUGUGUAUGCUUAGGGCUGUCUUUAUAAUGUGUUUGUCCAUUUUUUCAGGUUAUGGUUAUUGUAGAUGCUUCAGAAGCAGAGGAAUUUUCAGAGGUAGCAUCCAAGCCUUUAAGAUCUCUCCCUUACGAUUCACCUGGACAAACUUUUGUGGCUUUUGAGAAGCCAGAGGGAGUCCCUGCAGUCGGGAAGUUUUCAAAUAUGUUGAGAUUCAUUGUUAAAGAGGUAUGCUUGCCUUCUUCCUGCAGUGAUAUAUAUGCUUUUUCUUUCUGAGCCUGUGUUUUUGUUGGUCUUGUAUUAGAAAAUAAAUUAGGAAAAAUUGUUAGGGUUUGCUGUGGUUUUAUGGCAUGCAUAUACUUGCACAGGCAACUUUUAAAGUGACUUGUACCUGUGCUCUUAUGAUUAUGCAUCUAAGAUUAACCAAAUGAAAACAUUUUGAAUUGUUACUGUAUCCACAUCAGUUGUAUUAUGAAUUUUCAUUUCUUUGACUGGGUGCAUUUGUCUAGGUUGAUCCAACUACUGGUGAAGCAGAUGAAGAUGGUGUGGAGGAUGAAUACCAACUUGAGGAACUGGAGGUCGUUGCAGCAGAUUACAUGAUGAAAGUUGGGGUAUCCAAUUUCAGGAAUGCAUGGGAAAGCAUGGGCCCUGAUUGUGAACGAGUGGAUGAAUAUGGCCUUGGCCCUAGAGAGAGCUUGUCUGAAGCUGUUAGUGCUGUCAUCAACCUUCUUGGCAUGCAGCCUUGUGAGGUUAGUUGGUGAAAUUAUUCAAUUGCAUAGUCAUCCUUUAAUUACUGUGAAGGCAAUUGAGGACAGAGUUUUUAGCCUAACAACCUCUUUGUUUUCUCAAUGCAUAUCAAGAAAAUGAACUGAUAUAAUACAAAUGAGAUCUGUUAUGCGAUCUCUCAAAAUAUUCUGUCAUUCUCUGUUGUAUAAUUUAAUUGGUCUUUUUUCCUCUUCGAGUUGUGCUUCAUAUUUGGACAACUAAACUAAGCAUAAUGCAAGCAUCCUGUAGGGAUGCUUUUAUGCAAUAUCUCAAACAGUUUUUUUGUCCUCAAAUUUUGUCUAUUUCUUCUGGGUUUUCUUGUCCAGGGCACAGAGGUUGUCGCAAGCAAUUCACGGUCGCAUACCUGCCUACUAUCUGGUGUUUUCAUUGGCAAUGUGAGGGUUCUCGUGCGAUUGCAAUUUGGAAUUGAUGGUGCAAGGGAUGUUGCGAUGAAACUGGCUGUCAGAUCUGAAGAUGAAUCUGUCAGUGAUGCCAUUCACGAGAUUGUAGCAAGCGGCUAAUGUGUCAAUCUAAUAACUGUUGCUUUCUUAUACUAGCGCCAAAUUUUUGAUGAGAUGACAUGCAGGAGUGUGUUGACAAUAGCCGAAAAUGCUUGUUAUAGAAAAGAGUCGUAUGCUAUGCCCUUUGGAGUGGGAGCUUGGCUUGCUGGGGAAAAUGAUUUGCAUUCAUCUCAGAGCUUCUCUCUCAUCUUUUAAUACGGCAAUGAUAUACUCUUUGUAUCAUGCAAAUCAGUUCUAAAGGAGGAUUUUAUUUUAUUUUACAUUUUUACCUUUUAAAUUUUUUUGUGGAAUUAGUUAUAGGUUCCAUCAAAGCUUGUUUGACAAUACUUGCGAGAUUUAAUCGGAUAAGAAUUUGGGAAGCAUCUUCCCCUUCUUUUUAUUUUUUUAUUUUUAAUUUUUACAUCCAAGCAUUGUGAAUUGGAGUAUUUGUUAAUUACACCAUUCAUUCGAGAUUCAAACACUCGUGUUAAUUGCAUUGUGGAAAGAUAGUUUAUAUUUUUAUGUCCAGAUAUUUUCAUUGAAGUUUUCAAAUUUUAACAGGUGUCUGUGUGCUCGAUGGCUGUGUGAAGGCAUAUAGAUAAACUUCUUAAACUUUAAAACAAAAAACUAACACUUCAAUUUCUAAAAUUUUUUAUUUAACAUUUUAAUUUGUAAAAUUUAAUUAAAAAAACGUACAAAUAAUUGUUUCAAAAGUAGCACCCAGAAACACAAAAAAAAACA
rnacentral:lncRNA from 1 species